rnacentral:rRNA from 1 species
GAUGAACGCUGGCGGCUUGCCUAAUACAUGCAAGUCGAGCGAACGGACGAGAAGCUUGCUUCUCUGAUGUUAGCGGCGGACGGGUGAGUAACACGUGGAUAACCUACCUAUAAGACUGGGAUAACUUCGGGAAACCGGAGCUAAUACCGGAUAAUAUUUUGAACCGCAUGGUUCAAAAGUGAAAGACGGUCUUGCUGUCACUUAUAGAUGGAUCCGCGCUGCAUUAGCUAGUUGGUAAGGUAACGGCUUACCAAGGCAACGAUGCAUAGCCGACCUGAGAGGGUGAUCGGCCACACUGGAACUGAGACACGGUCCAGACUCCUACGGGAGGCAGCAGUAGGGAAUCUUCCGCAAUGGGCGAAAGCCUGACGGAGCAACGCCGCGUGAGUGAUGAAGGUCUUCGGAUCGUAAAACUCUGUUAUUAGGGAAGAACAUAUGUGUAAGUAACUGUGCACAUCUUGACGGUACCUAAUCAGAAAGCCACGGCUAACUACGUGCCAGCAGCCGCGGUAAUACGUAGGUGGCAAGCGUUAUCCGGAAUUAUUGGGCGUAAAGCGCGCGUAGGCGGUUUUUUAAGUCUGAUGUGAAAGCCCACGGCUCAACCGUGGAGGGUCAUUGGAAACUGGAAAACUUGAGUGCAGAAGAGGAAAGUGGAAUUCCAUGUGUAGCGGUGAAAUGCGCAGAGAUAUGGAGGAACACCAGUGGCGAAGGCGACUUUCUGGUCUGUAACUGACGCUGAUGUGCGAAAGCGUGGGGAUCAAACAGGAUUAGAUACCCUGGUAGUCCACGCCGUAAACGAUGAGUGCUAAGUGUUAGGGGGUUUCCGCCCCUUAGUGCUGCAGCUAACGCAUUAAGCACUCCGCCUGGGGAGUACGACCGCAAGGUUGAAACUCAAAGGAAUUGACGGGGGCCCGCACAAGCGGUGGAGCAUGUGGUUUAAUUCGAAGCAACGCGAAGAACCUUACCAAAUCUUGACAUCCUUUGACAACUCUAGAGAUAGAGCCUUCCCCUUCGGGGGACAAAGUGACAGGUGGUGCAUGGUUGUCGUCAGCUCGUGUCGUGAGAUGUUGGGUUAAGUCCCGCAACGAGCGCAACCCUUAAGCUUAGUUGCCAUCAUUAAGUUGGGCACUCUAAGUUGACUGCCGGUGACAAACCGGAGGAAGGUGGGGAUGACGUCAAAUCAUCAUGCCCCUUAUGAUUUGGGCUACACACGUGCUACAAUGGACAAUACAAAGGGCAGCGAAACCGCGAGGUCAAGCAAAUCCCAUAAAGUUGUUCUCAGUUCGGAUUGUAGUCUGCAACUCGACUACAUGAAGCUGGAAUCGCUAGUAAUCGUAGAUCAGCAUGCUACGGUGAAUACGUUCCCGGGUCU